AUGAGGCUGCAAAUCCCCUGGGUCUUUCUUCCUUUGCACUUCUCCUGCUGCGAAGCCCAAGUGGUUCAGAGCCCCGAGUGGCUGGUUACUGGGGAAGGGAAGGUCUCCACCAUGUCCUGCUCUUUCACCAGCGCUUACCAAACCUUCUACUGGUACCAGCAGCUGCCUGGGCAAGGGCCGACCCACCUGCUGACCGCGAGCUCUAAUGACAAUGUCACUGUGGGGCGGUUCAUAGGCGAGCGCCUGGAAAGUGGGAAACGCAGCUCUCUGCACAGCACCGACUCCCAGCUGGGGGACUCAGGCAGCUACCUCUGUGCGGUGGAUCACAGUGACACAGGCGGAGCGGUGGACUGGAAGGUUUCUCAGCCUGCUGCGCUGCUUUUCCUGGCGGGGGGCAGGGCUGACCUCCCCUGUAACCACAGUGUCGCUGGCUACGAGAGAAUUAUUUGGUACUGUCAGCGCCCCGGAGCUGCCACUCGAGCUGUGGUCUCUGGCUACAACUCCGCGGAGACGUCGGAGCGGUUUGAACUGUCCAUUGACCCUCCGGCCGGUCCGCCCCGCUGCGCAUCACCAAGGUGGCGGUGGAGGACUCGGGGGUGCAUUACUGCGCCGUGAGAGGCACAGCGAGAGGAAAUGCAGGGCGAGCUGAACAAAAACCUCCCCGAGUUUGCGGGCUUGUCUACACUGCCAAGUUUUGUCAACAAAACUGCCUUUUGGCAGCAAAAUAGCGAGAGCGUACACACUGCCCUGCAACGGGACUUUGUCGGAAAAAAACACUCAAUUUUGGUGACAAUAAACUUCCACCCCUGCGACGGCUUCUCUACACUACCAAGUUUUGUCGAUGUCAUCAUGAAAAAAUCGACAAAAGCAAAGGCACC